CCAAAGCUUCAUGGUAGUGUGAAAGUGUGGUAAGAGCACAAAAGUAAGAAUUCCGGCGGUCCCCUAAACGCCCUGUAGCCACUGGACACUGGGGUAUCCCAUCCCAGUGUAGCACAGAUAAAAUAGUACCCAAACUGCAUCCCAAGCUAGUUCUUCAGUAUUAUAUCUAGAAUGGGGACUGGUUGGGUAACAUCCGAUGCAGGGCCAAGGAAAAACAUAUAAUAGUCUGAAAUGGUCACCUGAAAAACUGUCACGUAUGUAUGCAACCUGACAUAAGAAUGGUGGCAUAUGUUACUGUUAGUUUUAAGCACAAAAGUAAAAGCAGGUACAGAAUAGAGAAUCAAGCUGUUAAACUUAUGACAUCCAAGUAUGACAAAUUUGCAUAGAAUUUAGUGAUCCACAAUGCAAUGUUUUGUGAAUAGACCAAGUGUUCACUUGCUGUAGGUAAAAAAGAGAACGAUAGUCUAUUACCCAAAAUCUACAGAAGGACAGUGUCCCUCUCUCAUAGAAGAGCCUGACUUCCCUCGGGGAAAGGACCCCACAAGCAGACCUCCAUAGAGGUAUGUACAGCCGGGGGAGG